AUGCAGCCAUGCCGCGUGUGUGAGAAGGACCUCGGGUUGUUAAAGCACUUUCAGUAGGGAGGAAGGUAGUGUAGUUAACACCUGCAUUAUUUGACGUUACCUACAGAAGAAGCACCGGCUAACUCCGUGCCAGCAGCCGCGGUAAUACGGACGGGUGCGAGCGUUAAUCGGAAUUACUGGGCGUAAAGCGCAUGCAGGCGGCCUGUUAAGUCAGAUGUGAAAGCCCGGGGCUUAACCUCGGAAUUGCAUUUGAAACUGGCAGGCUAGAGUCUUGUAGAGGGGGGUAGGAAUUUCAGGUGUAGCGGUGAAAUGCGUAGAGAUCUGAAGGAAUACCAGUGGCGAAGGCGGCCCCCCUGGACAAAGACUGACGCUCAGAUGCGAAAGCGUGGGGAGCAAACAGGAUUAGAUACCCCUGGUAG
rnacentral:rRNA from 1 species